rnacentral:lncRNA from 1 species
UAUUUCCGUCCAGCUACUGUUUCCCAACCCCGCCCUCCCUAGGCACUGACCAUUCAGCUUCGGGCUUUAUCGGCAGCGCUGCAUUCGUGGAUCACAGAGGGCCGGUUAGAGAGGGCUGAUCCCAUUGGGCAGUCUCUCGGCUGCGUUGUAGUCGCUGGAAACUGGGUGGAAAUGAAAGCGCCAGGCCAGGACCGGUGGCUCAGAGGCAGCACCUCAGAGGCGGCCUGUUGCCUUAGCAACCGUGGAAGAGAGCUGAAGAUCAGAGUCUGGUUUUGAAGGUGAACUUGAGAAAUCAAUCAGUGCAUCCUCCUCCUGACUGGAAACUCAGCAUCAUUAUGGACAGAGAGCCUGUCUCCAAGGCAAAGGGAGGUAGAGGCUCUUUAACAUUCCUGGGCAGGCAGGAAGCAUUUCUGUUGGCUCUCAUCCUUGCUGACCUGUUCUAGUCUCAGGUCACUGCUGUCCUGAGGGUCCUGCAGAGCGGGUAACUCCGUGUAGUUUGGACUAAUGGUUUGUCACCCUGGGGAGCCAUUGACUAAGCUUGUUCUUUAGGUCUCUGGUUAGGAAUUUCGAAUAUAUGCUAUCUUUAGGAGUCCAUGGGCUUGUAUAUUUCUUUAAGGGCAUUUUUCCAGGUUUUUUUUUUUUUUAAAUGAGAUAAGAAAAACCUGUUAAGAAAGCUGGUUAGCCUGAAAUUGAGCUUUGGAGCUUGAAUUACUUUAACCUUAGGGUAUGACAUCAUGCCACAAUGAUCUCUCCACCAGUUUAAAGGCACUGAACUAAUUAGGGAUGAGAAGACUAUAGAGCAUUAGGAACACACCUCCGAGUAGAACAGCAAACAUUCUUUAACGUAAGAAUGUGAAGUUCUUUGCUAAAGUCUCAUAGGCUACAUACUUCUAGUAUAUAAAUUACACUAUUAUUAAUGUGAUCUGUAGGAUAGAAACUUUGGGAUGAUUAGUGAACUCCUCAGUCACUUGUAAGAUGCAAUCUGAGAAAAUCAGACUUCAUUAGUUUCCUCACAAUGUGAAACUCCUGCCUUAUAAUUUCAACUGUCUUAACUGAACCUCAGGUGACAGUUUUCUGUCUAUCAAUUAAGGAAGAAAUAGAUUUCAUUUCACAUGAUCAUGUACUAAUUAAUUUAGGAACUGCCUUUAUGAAAGCAUGUUUGCAUGACUUUACCACAGUGCUCUCCAAAGGAAAUAUAGUGCUAUCCUCAUACGUAAUUAAUUUUUUGUAGUAGUUCCAUUUGGAGAAGGCAGUGGCAGCCCACUCCAGUACUC